CAUUGUAUCCAGAUUAAAGCCAUUCGAACUGUCGGAACGCCGUUGUAGGGCCCUACGUCACAAACACACACUCACCGUCAGGUCUAAGUUUGGCUCCCACGCGCUCCUGUUCACUGGCAGCGCGUGGCCCUCCGUCAGGAUCACCGUCCUGAUGGCGUUCAGUCUGACUCGCGCCUCCCCGCCGCGGGAACACAACGCCAGCGCGAGCGUGAGACACACCAUCAGCACCAAGUGACUGCUCAUGACUGCUGCUGCUGCUGCGACAACAAAUGAAUACUUAAAUACCCAAACACGCUGCACGUGCUUACAUGAAAAUAUCCGCGACUCUCAGGUGAGCAGAAGAAGAUGCUGCGUGUCUGACUGAAGGAAUUAUUCAGACAGGUGAGAUGGAUCCGGACCCUGGUCCACUUUAUAGUCUGCUUCCACUGCAACCUCCCUCUCCGCCCACCGCCCACCGCCCCGGCCACGCGCCCACACACACAUCGAUACCCGCGCGAGCCAUUCACCUGCAGCCAUCGAUACACAGAGAGAAGAAGAGAGAGCGAGGGGGUUAAAGGAAGAUGUCCGUGCUUUGCAACGUUAACGUAGGGCAAGUAGACUGCAGAGCACUCACUCAACAUCACUAAAAACAACCUUUUCUUUAAUUACCCUGUUUUUCAUUUUCAAGUUGGCUAUUUGAAACAUUUAAAUGACCAUUUACAUAAAGUAUUCAGAUAUUCAAUGUCUGAAUGUAUCAGUAGGUUAAGUUUUAGCAGCAACAUGUAAAAGUAUAAAUUGUGCCGGUGACUAUGCAGUAGGCCUAUCCUAUAUUACUAGAUUAUUUUUACAGAUGCAUUUACAGUAUAAUUAAGCAGAACUGUACUAUUGUUGUCCGUCAAGAUGCUGCUAAUUUGACUAGGUAAUAUUUGAUGAACUCACUGUUUGUGCAUGUGUGUGAAAGAUGUUGUUUAAGAUGUGAAAUAAACAUCGUGAAGUAAAAGAAAAUCUCUCAAAAUGUAGUGGAGUAGAAGUAAAGUAGCAUAACACGAACACACUCAAGUAAAGUACAAGCCACUUAAAACUGUACUUGACUAAACCCAGUUACAUCCCGCUU